rnacentral:rRNA from 1 species
GACGUAGGGCGCGAGCGUUGUCCGGAUUUAUUGGGCGUAAAGAGCGCGUAGGUGGCGCGAUACGACCGGUGUGAAAUCCUCCGGCUCAACUGGAGGGGGUCACUGGUAACGGUCGUGCUGAUGAGUGCAGGAGAGGGACGUGGAACUCCGGGAGUAGCGGUGAAAUGCGUAGAUAUCGUUUGGAACGCCAAUGGUGAAAACAGCUUGCUGGGAGUGUGCUGACGCUGAGACACGAAAGCCAGGGGAGCAAACGGG